GAUGAACGCUGGCGGCGUGCCUAAUACAUGCAAGUCGAGCGAACGGACGAGAAGCUUGCUUCUCUGAUGUUAGCGGCGGACGGGUGAGUAACACGUGGAUAACCUACCUAUAAGACUGGGAUAACUUCGGGAAACCGGAGCUAAUACCGGAUAAUAUUUUGAACCGCAUGGUUCAAAAGUGAAAGACGGUCUUGCUGUCACUUAUAGAUGGAUCCGCGCUGCAUUAGCUAGUUGGUAAGGUAACGGCUUACCAAGGCAACGAUGCAUAGCCGACCUGAGAGGGUGAUCGGCCACGCUGGAACUGAGACACGGUCCAGACUCCUACGGGAGGCAGCAGUAGGGAAUCUUCCGCAAUGGGCGAAAGCCUGACGGAGCAACGCCGCGUGAGUGAUGAAGGUCUUCGGAUCGUAAAACUCUGUUAUUAGGGAAGAACAUAUGUGUAAGUAACUGUGCACAUCUUGACGGUACCUAAUCAGAAAGCCACGGCUAACUACG
rnacentral:rRNA from 1 species